CAGAAACUACGAAAGGAAGUUGACGGGGCCCGCACAAGCGGUGGAGUAUGUGGUUUAAUUCGAUGCAACGCGAAGAACCUUACCUGGUCUUGACAUCCCGGAGACCCUUAGGAAACUAGGGGGUGCUUCCAUCUGGAAGAAUCUGGAGACAGGUGCUGCAUGGCUGUCGUCAGCUCGUGUCGUGAGAUGUUGGGUUAAGUCCCGCAACGAGCGCAACCCUUGCCUUUAGUUGCCAGCAGUUCGGCUGGGCACUCUAAAGGGGCUGCCGGUGUUAAACCGGAGGAAGGUGGGGAUGACGUCAAGUCCUCAUGGCCUUUAUGACCAGGGCUACACACGUACUACAAUGGCCGAUACAAAGGGCAGCGACACUGCGAGGUGAAGCCAAUCCCGUAAAAUCGGUCUCAGUCCGGAUUGGAGUCUGCAACUCGACUCCAUGAAGUUGGAAUCGCUAGUGAUCGUGGAUCAGCAUGCCACGGUGAAUACGUUCCCGGGCCUU
rnacentral:rRNA from 1 species